AUUACCAUUAUGAUUUGUUACUUCAUCAAAUAAAGCUGAGAAAAUGCUUUAAGUAUCAAUAAAAAUUCGAGUAAAUAAAUUUUAUCCAAGAUCCAGAUAUAUAAGUAUUAGUGAUACUAAAAAUGUUGUUAAAUCUAAAAUACAUAGUGGAAAUAUCUCACUCCAAGAACCAAUUAAAAGCUGUUUAAAGAGGCUUGAAUUCUGCCUGCAAGGUUUUGCAUGUUGAUAGUUAUCAAACUAUAUUUUAUACCCUGUACUUUUAGAUAAAAUAGAUGACCAUGGAUAUCUACCAAUUGUCAAGUUGCAAUGCGCAAAAUAAAAUUAUCAGUAAUUACUGCAAAAAAUUAUUUUCUAUCAUGAAUCAUGAAAAAUCAGGUGUUAAUUCCAAUGAUUUGGAAGAACCAUCUAAAUUGUUCUAUUCACGCAAAUGUUCUAUAAUCACAGAAGAGUAAGCCAUUUAUCCUUCAGGUCAGACACCCGCAAAGGUCCAGUUUGAUUGAAAGUAACUCUGGUAAUUAUGUCACCGGAGGAAUCUCUGACUCAGACGUCCGCGAAUUGAUCUUUGGAUGCCAGCAUCCCAGUAACUGCAACUAGAGAGGUCUUCAAAUCAGACACCUGAGAAAGGUCUUGUUUAAUUAUGAUGGUUAGGUUGAUUCGAUCAACUAUUGAAAAUAAUACCAACGACGACAAUUAUCAUAUUGUCAUAUGAUGUCAAAACAGGUUUAAGAUGGAAAUAAAUGAGAUCAACAUGUGGUCAGAACCCUACCAUAAUGUAGUUAUUCCAGAAGUUCAAUAGAUUCAAGGUCAGACACUGUCUAUUUCUCUCUUUUGAAAAUUUUAAUGUUCUCAAUAUUUUCCACUUUUGAUAAUUUCAAUUGGCGAUCCGAUUUUUUAGAUUACUUUAAAUUCAUAAUAACUACUAUUUACUGAUUACAGAAAUAUCUGAAUAUAAGACUGAUAUUUUUUAGUAUGAUUCAAAUCAAAGUUUCACAUUUUUUUAUUUUCACUAAUAUUGAUAAUCUAAUACAUAUUAUUUUUCUGUACUAUUUCUAUAUCAGUUACUACAAUCUACAUAUUUGGAACAAUUCAAAAUGGAAAAGAGUUUGACUAUGAAAUACAAAUAGGGUUUACCUAAUAUGAUAAAGCAAAUACGUAACAAAAGCAGCAUUUCAUAAAAAAAACCAUGUGUUUUUUUAUCUACUAGCAAUGUAAAUUAUUCUGUGUUUAUUUUUAUUUAUUCCCUUGUGACAUGAUGAUUUUUCAUAUCAAUUUAUUAUCAAUAACUUUGCUGUAAAUUACUAAAUAAUGUUAUCAAAUUCCAUAUUUUCACAUUGCACGCCUUUCAAAAGCUUUAUUUAUCUAUUGAAAGUCCUCUAAGAGUGCAUUCCACUAUGCACUCACGACACUCACGUUCACAACCACGAUCUUUCCCGUUAGUUAAAUAACUUAAUUCACAACUUGGUAAAAACUAUUUAUUAACAUAAAAUAUAAAUAUAUGAAGUGUUUCAAUAAUGUGACUACUAAUCUCGUUGGAUUUCAAGACUGUUUUGAACACACUAUACUUGUUUAUGCUCUUUUAAAUACUAAUCCUAUUGUAUACAAAACCUAUUAGUUAUUAUAUUUGAUAAGUUAAAGGAACUUCAAGUGUCUAAAGGACAUAUGAAACCGCUUAAGUAAGACGUUGAGGACGGUCAGUUUGCAAUAAAUCUUAACGAAUACAAUAGUAAGUAGAAGUUAAGUAGGUAGAUUUAUGAUUCUUCACAGUCACAUUAAUAAAAGACAGCAAUUAGGUAAUCCGAGACAAUACGUUAAUGGAGCAUAAAAUAGGAGAAAUAUUGUAUAACUUAAUAUAUCGUAACCAGAUCUUAAAUAGUUAACAUCAAGAGUGGAAUGAUAAUUCGUUCCACUUAGUCCAGAGCGUUAUAAUCGAAACCCAAGUGGAAUGGAUUACGACGCGUUUUGAGUGUUAUAAAGAAUUAUAAAGGAAUGGCGAAACUGAAAAAAUAAAUCGAAAGUUUUGAGAGGUUAUGUUAUAAUUUGUAACUUAUUAAAUUUUUAGUGGAGGGCUUAACUGACCUACACUAAAGUAAAACCAAAAUAUCUCUGCGGCGAUAGUAAAAUAUUUGGUGGUGCGUUACAAUAAUGCUUCAAAACAACGAUCGUAGUCGCUAUGUGGAACUCUCAAAGGAGUAUUUCAAGCCCCGUGAACGCUAAGUGGAAUGCGCCCUAAUUUUUAACGUUUGUGAAAGAAAGAAUCUAAAACCUUACUUUUAUUAUUUUACAUAUCGCUUUCCUACUUCAAUAGUGCUAUAACCCAAAAAAAUGACAUUUUCUGUCCAAUGUAUACUUUAUCAAGAUGUUUAUAGGAUUUAAUAGUGCCAUAUCGUUAGUACGAGCAGAAUCCGUGUGAGGAGUCAAGUGUCACUAUUACAAUGAGUUACUCGCGACUAUAUAUACCAUGUACAGUGCCGUGAACCAGUAGUCAUAUCAUUUCGUCGAUUUAGUUCCGAUACUGACCUACACAACUAAACCAAAGUUUGAUGCAAGCAAAAAGAAAUAGGUAUUUCGUUUUAUUCGAAUUAAGUCCUAACUUAACAAGUCUAAAUAAAAUUAACAUCAACAGCAGUGCCAUAUCAUUGAAAAAAAUGUUUUUUAAAGCAGUCUGUAGAUUUUACAUUACAUUUUACAUCACUAAUCAGUAACGAUAUAAUCAAACUGUAUAUGUACUAAGUUCGAAGACCAAAAAUGGCCAGUGUCAGUUUAAAACAACCACAAUGCGUGCUGUGCGCCUUACGUUUGCCAGAACGCAUUGUGGCUCUAAAUUAUUUUCUAUUUAAAAGACUUCAGCUCACUUAAUAUAAUGCCGCUUAUUAAUAAUCAUUUGGUAACAAAUUAGUACAACACUCAUUAUUCGAAUAAAUGUUUAAUGACAACAUUUUUAUAUAUGUUUUAUACCCAUAUAGUCAAUAAUUAAUAUAAAUUAUCAACAGUCGUUUUAAUGUAAAAAAGUAUAUUACUAAAAUCAAUCUUCGCUGCAUAUCCACCUAUUUGUUUUGGCAUGAGGAAUUGUUGCGGCAUUUUGAAUUGCAUUGAACUUUAUGUUUUACGCAGUUAGGUUAGGUUAGUUAUAUUGUCAUUGUCAAGGAUAAUUCGUAUGUCUAUUGUUGUUACCUGUACCUGUGAUGUACUUUUAUAUUUCUUAUUUUACAUUUCGAAAGUCCUAACACAGGUAUGAAUAAAAAGUAAGGAUCCUCUAACGGUUUGGGGUGUUGAUUACGAUUCAACAUCUCAGGAGUCGUUUACGAACAUUUUUGGAGUGCAGUUCAGUUUUACUCGGGCGUCGAUUUUACUAUCAGGAUCAAUAUUUUAUACUGAAGUAUUGCAAAAUUUUUUUUUUUUUUUAAUAAACGUCGAAGCUUGGAAAA